ACGAUGAACUAUUGGAGGUAAAGUCUGGUGCCAGCAUCCGCGGUAACUCCAGCUCCAAUAGCGUAUAUUAAAGUUGUUGCGGUUAAAAAGCUCGUAGUUGGAUCUCAGUUUGUUCGCGGGCGGUCCGGCGCGAGCCGGCCACUGCCCGCGGGCGACCGUCUCGCCGGUUUCCGCGGAUGAUCUUGACCGGUUGUCCGUGGUGACCGGCAAGUUUACUUUGAAAAAAUUAGAGUGCUCAAAGCAGGCUGCUUACCGCCUGAAUAAUGUUGCAUGGAAUAAUGGAAUAGGACCUCGGUUCUAUUUUGUUGGUUUUCUGGACACGAGGUAAUGAUUAAGAGGGACAGACGGGGGCAUUCGUAUUGCGACGCUAGAGGUGAAAUUCUUGGACCGCCGCACGACGAACUACUGCGAAAGCAUUUGCCAAGAAUGUUUCCAUUAAUCAAGAACGAAAGUCAGAGGUUCGAAGGCGAUCAGAUACCGCCCUAGUUCUGACCAUAAACGAUGCCAGCCAGCGAUCCGGCUGCGUUCCU
rnacentral:rRNA from 1 species